rnacentral:rRNA from 1 species
AGUGAACGCUGGCGGUAGGCCUAACACAUGCAAGUCGAACGGCAGCACAGUAAUAGCUUGCUCUUACGGGUGGCGAGUGGCGGACGGGUGCGGAAUACAUCGGAAUCUACUUUUUCGUGGGGGAUAACGUAGGGAAACUUACGCUAAUACCGCAUACGACCUACGGGUGAAAGCAGGGGAUCUUCGGACCUUGCGCGAUUGAAUGAGCCGAUGUCGGAUUAGCUAGUUGGCGGGGUAAAGGCCCACCAAGGCGACGAUCCGUAGCUGGUCUGAGAGGAUGAUCAGCCACACUGGAACUGAGACACGGUCCAGACUCCUACGGGAGGCAGCAGUGGGGAAUAUUGGACAAUGGGCGCAAGCCUGAUCCAGCCAUACCGCGUGGGUGAAGAAGGCCUUCGGGUUGUAAAGCCCUUUUGUUGGGAAAGAAAAGCAGCAGGUUAAUACCCCGCUGUUCUGACGGUACCCAAAGAAUAAGCACCGGCUAACUUCGUG